rnacentral:rRNA from 1 species
AGAGUUUGAUCCUGGCUCAGGACGAACGCUGGCGGCGUGCUUAACACAUGCAAGUCGAACGGAAAGGCCCGCUUGCGGGUACUCGAGUGGCGAACGGGUGAGUAACACGUGGGUAACCUGCCCUUGACUUCGGGAUAACAGUUGGAAACAGCUGCUAAUACCGGAUAUCACUGCUGCACGCAUGUGUGGUGGUUGAAAGUUUUUUCGGUCAAGGAUGGGCCCGCGGCCUAUCAGCUUGUUGGUGGGGUAAUGGCCUACCAAGGCGACGACGGGUAGCCGGCCUGAGAGGGCGACCGGCCACACUGGGACUGAGACACGGCCCAGACUCCUACGGGAGGCAGCAGUGGGGAAUAUUGCGCAAUGGGCGGAAGCCUGACGCAGCGACGCCGCGUGAGGGAUGAAGGCCUUCGGGUUGUAAACCUCUUUCAGCAGGAACGAAUCAAGACGGUACCUGCAGAAGAAGCACCGGCUAACUACGUG